rnacentral:rRNA from 1 species
GAUGAACGCUGGCGGCGUGCCUAAUACAUGCAAGUCGAGCGAACGGACGAGAAGCUUGCUUCUCUGAUGUUAGCGGCGGACGGGUGAGUAACACGUGGAUAACCUACCCAUAAGACUGGGAUAACUUCGGGAAACCGUAGCUAAUACCGGAUAAUAUUUUGAACCGCAUGGUUCAAAAGUGAAAGACGGUCUUGCUGUCACUUAUAGAUGGAUCCGCGCUGCAUUAGCUAGUUGGUAAGGUAACGGCUUACCAAGGCAACGAUGCAUAGCCGACCUGAGAGGGUGAUCGGCCACACUGGAACUGAGACACGGUCCAGACUCCUACGGGAGGCAGCAGUAGGGAAUCUUCCGCAAUGGGCGAAAGCCUGACGGAGCAACGCCGCGUGAGUGAUGAAGGUCUUCGGAUCGUAAAACUCUGUUAUUAGGGAAGAACAUAUGUGUAAGUAACUGUGCACAUCUUGACGGUACCUAAUCAGAAAGCCACGGCUAACUACGUGCCAGCAGCCGCGGUAAUACGUAGGUGGCAAGCGUUAUCCGGAAUUAUUGGGCGUAAAGCGCGCGUAGGCGGUUUUUUAAGUCUGAUGUGAAAGCCCACGGCUCAACCGUGGAGGGUCAUUGGAAACUGGAAAACUUGAGUGCAGAAGAGGAAAGUGGAAUUCCAUGUGUAGCGGUGAAAUGCGCAGAGAUAUGGAGGAACACCAGUGGCGAAGGCGACUUUCUGGUCUGUAACUGACGCUGAUGUGCGAAAGCGUGGGGAUCAAACAGGAUUAGAUACCCUGGUAGUCCACGCCGUAAACGAUGAGUGCUAAGUGUUAGGGGGUUUCCGCCCCUUAGUGCUGCAGCUAACGCAUUAAGCACUCCGCCUGGGGAGUACGACCGCAAGGUUGAAACUCAAAGGAAUUGACGGGGACCCGCACAAGCGGUGGAGCAUGUGGUUUAAUUCGAAGCAACGCGAAGAACCUUACCAAAUCUUGACAUCCUUUGACAACUCUAGAGAUAGAGCCUUCCCCUUCGGGGGACAAAGUGACAGGUGGUGCAUGGUUGUCGUCAGCUCGUGUCGUGAGAUGUUGGGUUAAGUCCCGCAACGAGCGCAACCCUUAAGCUUAGUUGCCAUCAUUAAGUUGGGCACUCUAAGUUGACUGCCGGUGACAAACCGGAGGAAGGUGGGGAUGACGUCAAAUCAUCAUGCCCCUUAUGAUUUGGGCUACACACGUGCUACAAUGGACAAUACAAAGGGCAGCGAAACCGCGAGGUCAAGCAAAUCCCAUAAAGUUGUUCUCAGUUCGGAUUGUAGUCUGCAACUCGACUACAUGAAGCUGGAAUCGCUAGUAAUCGUAGAUCAGCAUGCUACGGUGAAUACGUUCCCGGGUCU